rnacentral:rRNA from 1 species
GACGAAGGAUGCAAGCGUUAUCCGGAUUCAUUGGGUUUAAAGGGAGCGUAGGUGGACUUAUAAGUCAGUGGUGAAAUCUUUGGGCUUAACCCAAAAAUUGCCAUUGAUACUGUAGGUCUUGAGUACAGUUGCUGUGGGCGGAAUAUGACAUGUAGUGGUGAAAUACAUAGAGAUGUCAUAGAACACCGAUUGCGAAGGCAGCUCACAAAGCUGUAACUGACACUGAGGCUCGAAAGUGCGGGGAUCAAACAGG